ACCCUUCUGUAGGUGAACGUGUGGAGGGAUCAUUA
rnacentral:rRNA from 1 species